AAAGACUCUUUAUAUCUACUGCGUUAUCUAUAUCUAAAAAUCGUUUAAGGACUUGAAGAUAAUUGUUAUUUACUGAGAUCCUUU